GGGCUUGCUGCUUUCCAAGCAUUUCUUUUGGCUUUGAGGAGCAAAAAAAAAGAAAAGAAAAAAAAAAAAGCAAACCAAAUGAAAGAAAUCUGUCCAAGAUCCCUUUGUUAAAAAAAAAAAAAAAAAAAAUCAGAAUUCCUCAAUUCCUCCCCGUAAAUGGGAGGGGGAGAGGAUCCUUGGAUCAGCCGCGCUGCGAAGCGGGACUGGGCAGGAUUGUGCCAAGCGGGACUUUUCCUGCUGCCAGAGCUCCUCCGCAGCGUCACUCGCUGCCGGGAAGGGAGGGAGCGCGGUGUGUGUCUGCCGGGGGCACGGUGCGGAGCGGGAAGAGAUCCUCCGAGAACCCCCACUGAAGCAGAAGCAUCUAAAACAUAUCCAGAGAGGUCUGCAGAUCCGGUGGAGAUGGGAGCUCCUGUGCCUUUCCUCAAUGCUCUGCCUAAAACCUCCACUCUCUGGUGGCGAGGAGCCUCUCGGUUGGCCAAGGCCCCAUUCCAAGGAGGGAAGAUGCACCCUGCCCCUCUGCCAGCCCGGUCAGAUUUGGCUGCUGUGUCAGGAGUUCUGGUCAGGUGGGACUGUUUUGGGAAAGGGGUGAACUCACGGCUAGACAUUUUUCCCUGGCAUCCCCCUGCUCUCCCCUGUCUUACUGUGGAAUGAGAGAAGAAUGGUGAGGGAAACUUCUCGGGUUAUCACAGGGUAUCUGUCUAGCAGGGCCCGUCUGUGCUGUUAUUGCUUCUUACAUUCUGGUGUUGGAAACCACUCCUCCUGUUCUGCAUGGUCUGUCGGUGGCUGCUUCUCUCAGACAGUGAAUGGCAGGCUGUGUGGGUAGGGUUUCUCUUUUUUUCUCUGAUUAUUGAUUUUUGCUUUGUACUUUAAGUUCUUUCUUGACGGUGGCACCAAGUGGUGUGGAUGAACUGUUAGACCUGGGUGACCCCAGGCACGCAUGUGAGUGUCCUGUGCAGACUAGAGGCAGCCUGGGCUCCCUGCAUGCAGACAAAGCCUGCUAUUGCUCUGACCGUGUUCUGUCCAAGUGGCACAGUGGGUGGCAUUCUGCAACCCACUUCCCUGGUUGAAAAAUGGCCUUGAUGCUACUUCCUUACCCUGCAAGGGUCCUGAGCAUUAAUCACGGAAGGUGGCAAGGUGCUCCAGUGUAGUAAAUAAGAGCAAAGAAACAGCUAAAAUAGGAUGGAAGUUUUUCCCCAGCCUCAUAGAAAUGGGUCUGAAAUCUCCAUCUCUGAUGGUGUUGACACUCUUUGGCAAGUAUGAGUUGAGAACCAUUGGCUCUAACGAGUUUGAGCUGCCAGCCCAUUACUCUAACGCAGCACCUCUGCCCCAGAUAGGAAGUUCUCUCCUCCAAGCACCAGCAGGGCUUGCUGCGUGCUUGCCUCCCUGCCUGUGUAAUUGAGCAAGGCCAAUGUAUUGCGCAGGGUCGGCUGCUGAUUAUUGCUCCUGGUGUGAGCUAAGGCUGCUUACAUUGUCAGCUCAGAAAUAUUGUUCACACAAACGGUGCUAACUCCCUGGGCCCUUGGGUACUCUUCAGUGGUAGGAAUUAAACCAAGUGACAGAGCAGCACAUCACCCUUCUCAGAGCAGGCAUAAAUUUUAGAGGUUGAGCUGAACUUUAUUUUGGAAAGUACCAGACUGCGGUGCUGGUUACUGCUGGAAAGCACAUUUCCAUCUAUGACCCCCCAAAAUUAAAGGAAAACUGAACGUGGUCUUCCUUAGCAAGCUGGGCUAGAGCGUUGAUGUUUAAUUGUCUGUGUGAUGGUUGGUCAAGAAGAACGGCUUUAUGAUUUCUGAUUUAUCAUUCAUAACGGUCUGACUCAACAGAUCACACUGCUGGUUCUGUUCAGCCCAGAGGUGUUCUCAGUGCUAAACUAGAAUCCUUUGGCAGCACCUAGAGAGCAUCCCUGGGAGCGGCUGGGCUGCCUGGGGCAAGGAUGGGGCUGCCCCAUCCGCUCUCACCUCAGGUUUGCUUUUGUUAUUGUAUUUGCCCCAAAAGGAGGAAAGAGAUUGAUGGUCCUCUAUGCCAGGUUUCUGUGUCUGGUUAUUCCUUCUUCUGCGGUAGAGUAGAAUUCUGGAGAAGGACUUGACAUCAGCUCUCUGUAUUUAGGUUCCAUUUAAUUAUAUCGGGAAAAGCAAAGCUCAGCUUGCAACGCUUGCUGGAAGGAAAACCACUUGCACCUGUCCUGGUUUACCGGUGAGUGUGGUGGAUCCCAACUCUUCACCUCUUCACUCUCUCUGGUGACCCUUUGGUUCAGUGUCUUUGGGUCUCUGUCUCUCAUUGCCUGAUGCAAUUAUCGUUAAUCGAGGCAAUGUACCUGCCCACAGCUGAGUCGCUUCAGCAGAGCAGCAGCAAUGGAGCAGUGCUUCACAGAGGGCAGAGGCUCCUCCGCAAAGCGCCGGCUGUGGUUGGAAAAGCUCAUUGAAUACACUGGGAAAGAAAAUCUGUCAGCCCGUGACAGGGAUUAUUUUAAUAACCUAAAAUCUUAUUGCUUCUGGAACAUCUGCUCUUUGGUGGAGCAAACAAAUAGGUUUUAAUUUCAUUGCCUUAACUUCAUGGAAAUAAAUUUGAAAAGCGCAAUAACCGAUAUUAUUUAGGGCAACAGCAUUAUCUUUUUCACAUCAGUCUUAACAGGAAAACUGCAGGAAGUACAAAGCCAAUAGAAAUACCUCCAAUCUCAGACCCUUGAAAUAGCUGCAACUUAAUAUACCACAGCUGGUAAAAGAAAACUUCACCUGACCCUUAAGUUUGCAGAGGAGAGCAGUUACCAAGUCAUUCCUUUGGAGGUGAUGCGGUAAGGUGGUGUUACUCACUAACGUUCCUUGUCUAUAUGGAGGCUAAUGUAUUCCUGUUGUACUUAAUUAGUUUUGAACCUGUGUGUGUGAGAAAUGCAGCGCAGGGCUGUUAUUAAAAUUCAUGCUUUAUAAUAAUUAGCACAGUUAGUGCGGUCUCUGAGAACUGCCAGCCAAAGGACCAUUAGCUUUGGUUAAUGGUGGAACUGGCUCACCCGUGCUAUCGUUUAACCCACUGCUGUGUUCUUAAGGAGAAAAGUUGUGAUCGUUCUCAAAGACUGCAUCAGGACAGCCAUUAAUUACCAGAACUCAUUAAUUAUAACAGAUUGUCUGCUAUAAAAUCUCUUUAACUCAACUUUUGCGAUGAUCAGUAGGGAAAUUGUGACAAAUAUAGGCGGAACUGUCCCUUUUAAAUGGCUGGUGUUUUAUCUCUCAUCGAAUCCCUAUCUGAAAUUGAGAAAAAUGAUUAAUAAGGUUCAGAAACUCAUUCUUCACAAGAUCAAAGUCAUAAAAUUCUGUUAAUUCCCUUUGAGACAGAAAUAGGAAUUAUAGUUUAGAGACUUUUCCCUGCGACUUUUUGUUUCAUUUUACAACUCUCUAAUUGUUCCCCAAACGUAUCUCCCUUUGUAUUCCACUGUAAACGAAUUUGCUGAGCUAUCAGGAACUCAAGAAAAACCUCUUAGUUAAAAAGUGCCUCUUGCAGGAGCAGCUGAAAAGCACAAAUUCCACAAAACCAAAGUGAUGCCUUAUUCCUUGUCAUUCCUUACACGUCCGAAGCCUUUGGUCUUGUCUUUUUGGUAAGCCUCGGCCUUGUCUUGUGGUUCAGGACUCAUGGCUGAGCAUUUACAGGCAGAAUUUCAGCUGAGCUUUCUGAAUUUCUUGAAAGCACUUUUACCUCGAUGUUUUAACUCUUCUAGUGCCAGGUUAUUCCCAGAGCAACUCUCAUUGCUUUGCCCUGUCUCACAUUGCUGUGUGGCUGCAAUGUCACCAAUCUAUGAGGCAUCCGCUCUACAGCCUACAGGCGUGGAUCUUUUCUGGCAAAAUUCCCCUAGAAGCAGUUUUACCUUUGGUAUUUAAGAAAAAUCUUGUAGGGUGCAAACAUGCAUCCCUAUUCUUAAUGGUUAUUUAGAGAGCAAAGUGUUUGGGUGUGCUUGAAAAUAGCCCUGGGCACCUAUUUGCAUGUGUAGGUGCUUAAAGAUCUGAGAAAAACGACCAUCUGGUGCCUCUGGACUCAGAUCCUCAGAAAAUACAUAGAAUACUGAAAUGAAGGGAAUUCAGGCACCUGCAUUUCUGCCCUUCAAUUUUAAAAUAUCUUUGAGCCCUUACUUUGUAACAGAAGGAACUGAUGACCUGGUGGCUAAAUAGUAUUGUCAAUUCAAAGGCAGCCAGUUCUUGGAAUAAUUUCUGAGGCGUUUUGAGCUACUUCUUUUCCAUAUUUUUCUUUGAUCUUUUUGUAGUAAAAUUUCAAAUUUAAUCUUUUAUUUCCUGGAUUGACUACAAGAGAGGAUUUGCUUUGCUGUGCCAGGGUGCAAAUUAUUUUCUUGUUAGAAAACCAAAACCCAUUAUCUGUGCUUUUACUUGGCGCAGAAGACAGAAGCAUUAGUACUCGAACACAGCAUGUUUUCUGCUCUGUGCAUGCUAUGAUGGCUGGAAAUCAUGAAAUUUGGAGCUGAAGAGCACUUCACCCCACAUCUGGGAGGAUGUUCGCACUGAGAUCUGAGUAACUCCCCGUGGGCAGCUGCCAGCAUUUCGGCUUUUAUUUUUGUCACUGGAUUGAAUGGACCCUGAGAAGCACUGGGAAAAAAAAAACGUACUCCUAAGCCUAGAUGAAGUUCACAGGUGCUUCAAGGUGACACCUGGGACAGAGAAUUAGUAAAAUUAUCGUUCAUUUCAACAGUGGCUCUUUAAAUGUGGGGACAGCAUAUUGAUCCUGAGCCUGCUACGUGAUCAUUUUCCUUCGGCAUCAGUGGCAUUUCCUGCCAAAAUUCAUCAGACGCUCCUUGACGCUGGGCCAAUUUCCUGGCUUGCACGUUGUCAAUCAGGUGGAGAUCCAAAUGUUCGCCCACGUCUCCACCGUUUUCUUUCUCUCUGACUCCAUCAGGAGCACAUGACACAUCCGUAGAUCAUGGGAGAGAGAAGCAGGUUUGCUCUCCUUUCUCUCUCUGCUGGGGGAAAAAAAAAAGACUCUCAACUGUAUAAUCAUCUUCCUAUAAAAUAAAUUGCUUUAUCUGUCUUAAUACUGUCACUCUUCAGUUCUCCAGUGAUCUACUUCUUCCAUCUGUGUGCAUAACUGAAAUCUUCUCUCCACCUACUCUAUGUACUUCCAAGUGUCAAAAUCCUGCCUCAAUCAUUGCUGUCAUCAGUCUCUCAUUCCUGGCGGGAUAAGCGGGCGAAACAUCAUGGUUCCUCAGACCUCUUUGGGUAACUUCUGUGCUCACUUUGCAGAGUUGAGGUGAACUAUCAGAAAUAUGACCUAAAAGAGUUUUGUUUUGUUUUGGGUUCUUUUUUUUGUCAGCUGAAGCUUUCCACUUUCUGCUCCUGAAACAAGUGGGUAUUUUUAUUGCUUUCUGGGUCUUGCUUCCACCAUGACUCUUGCUGCAGCGAGGCAUAAUUUCAGGAGAUAACCACAUUACCCAAAUCCUAUGAAAGUUGACUUACUGCUUUGUAUUGAGUAAUUCUGCAUGACUCACACUUUGUUCUCUGAUAUAAUUUUUACACUUGUUCACAGAAUAUCGUUGAGACAAUUGAGCUUGCUUACAGAAAUCACCAUCUUUUGUAAAGCGACAGUACAAUCGCUUUCCUCUUUCACAAAGCCACUCCAAGAACAAUGGGCCGACCCAUAAAUAACAACCAUUUGUUUUGCUUAGAACGUGGAUUCUACUUUGCUAAAUGAAAUAACGGCAGGGAAAAGAAAGAAGCCUUCUUAGAAGCCGUGCAUCUUCCCAGAUAAUGUGGCAACGCGCCUCUCCUGCUGAGCCGUGACCUACUUUGCUUACAAAAUGCUCUUGCUACCUUCCCCCAAACACGAGGCUGUUGAAGCCCCAGGAAUUCUUCACCUUGGGUGUGAAACCGUGAAGUGUCAGUCACCACCAGAGGAUCCUCAAUGGUUUCCCUGUCUGGCGGCACUGCGCUGCUUAUCACAUCCCCUGCGAAUGCCUCCCUUCUCAUCACAUUGAUGCUGGGAUCAGUUUUUAUCUCUGCUCCAACAUACACGUACAGAGCUGGAUGAAUUUUGCCAUCUUGUGAGAGGUUUGGGUACUUUUUUUGGACUGGGUUUAUUUUUGGGUUAGCUCGGUUAAAAUGUUUUGCUCUGCUGUCAUCUUUUUUUUUUUAAUUCCUUCAUAUUUUUUACUACUGAAAAGGAAUCCUUUUCCUCUAGCUAAUAUGUUAUGUGCAUCAGAACUUGGUAGCAUGCCUGUUCACGGAGAAACAGGAGUUGAGAUCGAGCAUCAACAGCUGUGGGAAUGACCUGCGCCAUAUGGGACAUACGACAAUUACCGAGUCUAUAUUACAUAAGGAAUAAAAUCAUGCCACUUUGCUAAAGCAUGUAAGGAAAGAGAACUAGAACAUGAUGACAAAUGACUGCUCCCGAUGAGAAAGGUCCUUAGAUGUACUAUCAUGUUUUUUUUGGCUUUACAACAAACGCAUACAAUCCACUUGUUAAAUUCAAGUCCGUUGCAUGGCAAAGGCAGCAUCCCUCGGCUUUGUACUUGCCUUAGUUAAGCAGCACAGCACUUAAAUAUAGAAGUUGAGUUUGUCCAUCAGGUUUUGCAUUUGUGACUCACAACCAAAGUUACUGAUCACAGCACACAGACGUUAUUGCCCGCUGGGCAAUGCUCAGGCUCGUUAUCUGGGGCAGAUGAUUAGAUUUUAAUGCCGCAAAGCAUCAUCAGAGUCAGAAGGUAAAUAAAUGUUUUGUCAGAUGGAAAAAUGUUUCAGAGCUUGAUCCUGUUUGUUUAGCAAAAGGAAGUCUGGGAGAUGAUGCUAUACAACCUAUGUACGCCCUUAUGGGAGAUGUGCUGCACCCUCAAGAGCCACCUGCAAGAACUGAUGGCCCCAACCUGUUGCUAACCCAAGGCAAACCUUUAAGCACUGGGGAAUUAGCAACAAGCCAGAAGGAAAAUGGUUCAUUCCUUAGGUCUUAUUUUCUUUUAGCUACAACUGGGUACCUUUCAAGAUGACACACUUGCAUUAAACAACUCCUAAUGUCAUGCAAAAGGCUGGAUAUCAUCAUCUGUGAUACCCAGGAGGUUGGAUCACAGCUCUUUGCCACUGCCAGUGCAAGUCUUUGAACCAUCUCAUCUCAUCUCAUGCCUGGCAUUUGCUGGUAUCAUGUAACAGAAUACGUACUCUAUUCACCUUACAUUUUUGACUUAAUUCUUUAUCAGCACUGACUCUCUUAUUCCCAGCGGAGAGCUGAGCAGAGCUGUGUGGAGCCCCUUCCCCUCUGCAUGGGGAAUUCCAGUGCCUGCCUUGGCACUAGGGGAAAUGCUAAUGGUGUCGAACCUAAUAAGGUGUUGGCAACACAGCUUGCAUGGUGAUCGAAAGACCUUAGUUUAAUUGACAAGCUGCCUCUGGGAGCUGAUCCCAUGUGCAAUUUUCUUCCUGAAUUUGGAACUUCAAGAUGCAUUGAAUGGCCUUAUUGCACGUUUUUCUGCUUGAUGUUUGGAUACCAAUUUGUAUGUUUCUCAGGAGUAGAAAUAUUGUGUAUUAUAUUUCAUAGAAUCAUAUUUACACACGUAUGACUUUGUAAUGAAAGAAAGUGUACACAGAAGAGGCAGAGUUAAGGUCAGGUUAUUUUUAGACUUGUUCUAAAACAAUAUAGCCCCCAAAAUCAGUCCUGAAGUUCUGUUACAGGUAGGUACAGCUUUCCAUGCUUUAAAUGAUCUGAAGUCCCUCUUUGCAAUAAUUCUGAAGCUCUUUACCUAGCACUUAUGAUUUCAUUUUGCUUUGCACUUUGUCUGCUUGUGAUAUUGUUUUGCUUGCAUUUGCAGAACUCAUCCUUGCAUGUAGAAAGAAGCUGUCUGCGAGGUGUCUUCUAGGAAUAAAAGCUCUAAUCUGCUGCACUGGGUUUAAUAAAUAUUUCAUCAUCCACCGUUUGGAAUAUUCUCCUGGUGAACCUCAGCAGCUGCACGUCGUGAAAAUAAUGCCUGGUUCGAGAGUGGGGGUUUGCUUCCAUGUUCUGGGCAGUGCACAACUGUACGUCUUGAUAUCGCAGAUAAUCUGGGUUGCUCCUAUCUCAGGGCCUGUACUUCUAUCUCUGUGCAACGCCAUCUCACAGAAGCAUUUUGCAGAAUAAUGACUCUCACUGUCUGUUUCACAAACAGACGUAUCACAAAAGCAUUUGCACUACCGAGGUCGCUGACAACAUUGUUCAAAGAGGAGGAGGAGAACUCACCCAGCGAUGCCCGAUCCAGCUACAAUCCUAACUGAGCUGAUAGUCCUAUCAGAAGCACAGAUUUCAGCCUGAUGGUUGCCAGCUCCAAAAUGUGACCAGAGAUAGAAACGCUAAAUGGAUGUCUCCUGAUAACAGCAGGAACUUGAAUUAACAACCCCCAGCUGCAGUCCUGGAAGCUGGAAGGACAUGAAGACACAGGUACACAGAGAUGGAAACGAUCUCCACGUGAUGAGGAAAGCAGUGCACGAAGACCAUUCCCUACACCUUGCACCAGCCGAAGUGCCGAGCUCCAAGUGCGCAGUGGGAAUUGCAGAGCUUCAUUUCUGAAUGAAGACAUUUCCAUCCAAUAUUUUGGCUUGCCUGGACUGCAUUGAGUGAAGAGGAAUUGUCCUUGGCCACCUACAAAAUAUAUACUUAGUUAAUGUAUCUUUGCAGUCACCUGAGCCUGUGAAAACCUCAUAUCUCAACAUACGUGACCUGAUGCUGAACCUCUCGGUCUACAUCCAUGCUACAGAACACCAGCCCCACUGCAAGCUCUGGGCACCCAGCUCAGCCUUGCCAACUCCUGUUGCCUUCUCUCUACUCUGGGUAUUGAUUUUCCUGCCAAGGCAACCCCAAGAUGCAGAGGCAGAAGCUAUGGCAGCAUUGUUCUCAUCUUGUGCCAGAGAGCCAAGGCUGGAUGUGUUCCUCCUGACACUGCCCUGGAGGGGACAGCGGGAGGUGUCUGAGCAGCACUGUCACCUGCCCCGUGUCCGCGUGAUGACAACAGUAAAUCUCCCAUGGAGAACUCCUCCUGGGGCAGGACAAGGGCAUCCAUUCAGCACUGCUUUCUGAUGCUCCUUGCCUUUCCCGAGCUCUCUACCUACUUCUGCUACUGUUAAACAAAUCCUUCUGACUCUGGACCAGAGAAGAAGCCCCUGAGACAUAAUGCAGAGCUCAUUCUGCCGUGGCUGCUGGGCGUAUUCCUGCCUCCCCAGAGGCUGACUGGGACAUCUUAAUCCAAAGGAAAACAAAUCUACAUGGAAGAUGGAAGUCAAGUGAUGUUUUCCAGCCACCUCGGGCACUGAGCUGCUGGUGCAAGGUUUCAGAAGUUUCCCUUUAGAGCUUUUGGACCCUUCUCCUCCUGCAUUGCCAGAUAAGUCUCAUAUGAAUAUUAAUUGGCAUUGACAUGAAGUGUAAUUCUGUUACCCAGCUGCAGCCUAGUGCAGGUCAACAUGUGUUUGUGGUGUGCAAACCGUGGUUGUCAAUGGGUGGAUUUAUGGUGAGAUUUGUGGUGCUUCUGUUUGAAGUUGGAAAAUAAGAGUAUCCAUGAUAAAAGCAUGGUGGUUAAUGAUAAAUUUUAUCUUCCUCCUUCAAAAAAACGUGAGAAGUGCUAAGAUUAAGCUGAGGCUGGAGGCUAGUAGGAGAAAGGCAAAGGCACAUCGAGGAGUUCCAUCCCUGCAGCCCUUGUGUUUGCACGGAGCCCUUUUAAUAACUGUGAAUAAAGCACUGUUCUUCCAAUUCACUUUCUAAAAUGAACCAUCCAGAUGGCUGUAAGACAAAACCUAGUCGUCAAGCUGAGUAAUGUGUAUUUUGAGCAUAUUAACAAUGGGACGUGUAGAAUUGUGCUGAAUUAUGCAGAAUGCCACUCAAAAAGAUACACAUGCAGAAGCAGGAAUAUCACAAGCAUCAAACAGCCAUGGUUCAUAAUGUCGUUCUGGGCCUAACCAGAAGGAAAACCUUUUUAUAAGGGUGGUGAGGUGCUGGCAUGGACUACACAGAGAAGUGGUAGAUGCCCCAUUCCUGGAGACACUCAGGGUCAGCCUGGAUAACCUGAGCACCUGAUGGAGCUGUGCCCUUGUUCACUGCAGGUGAGUGGGACCUGAUGACCUCGAAGGGUCUCUUCCAGCUCAGAUGAUUGUAUGAUAUAGUGCUACGUGAUGAUUAAUGUUAUUUUUGAAUUUCUGAGGGGAACUGGAGAAAACAGACAGCUUUUCUUAUAGUCAGUGAGAAUACAGCUAUAUGGCUGAGCCUACACUGUGUUUCUUCUCUGUUGCUUGCCCCCGGGAUGUCCAAUUGAAACUUGGAAAAACAAUCUGAAGAUCAAAAAGACGUGUUGACAGAGGCAGGCAAAACCCAGACGUUCUGCUGGGGCUUCAUCUGUGAGUAACAUCAUCAAGAGAUUUUCCAGCCCCCUCUGCCCAAACUCACAAGUCCACUGAGUACUCGUAGCAAAGGGGCUGGGGAGUGCAGAAAUGAGUGCCCUAUUGCCUCAUGGCACGCUCAGUAGGAGGUUUGAUGUGUUUUAACAGCUUUUACUGCCUGAAUGGCAACGAAUAGUCACAAGGUCUGUAAUCUGAGGGUUGCUGGAAGGGUCUUGCUGGCUCCCCCCAGUUCUUUGUGUUUCCUGAUUUCAUUCCUUGAGCUUCCCAACUCCCACAAGAGUCAAAGCUCUCGGUGCCCAGUGUUGUGGGGGCUGCUGUGAGAGCACAGCCUGCAAACUGCAGAACUCCUGCUGAGAAAAACAUCACCUGGAACUGUUUGUCCACUGCACGGCCAUUUCCGUAAGCAAACUUUGUGCUGAAGUACAGCGUGAGUAAUUGCUCUAUUUAUUUUUCUUUACCCGAAUGCAAUUUUUAUUUGCUGUGAAAUCAAGUCCUUUCCCUAGCUGCAAGCAUGCGAGUGACUUUUGUGUGUAGGAAGACUGUAGUGGCACAGUGGAGAAAUAAAACUAUCGGGAACUCUUGAGGAAUAAAUUCAAACCCUCAUUAAUCCCUGUGGGCUGCAUCUCCAAUCUGGGUUUCGUGGAACGUGGGUGGUAUUCUCAAAGCGAUGGAACUGGUUGGCUUCGAGGGCUGACUUAGAUGGUACCAAUAUGGUUCUGAACCGCAGUCCUCUGCCCAAGGAAAAUGUAGGCUGGGGUUUAUGCUGGGUAUGUGCCCAGAACUUGGGUUUGCUGGAGAGCAUUGAGGCUUCAAGGAGUGCUUGAAGCAGUGGGACUGACACGGAGCUGCUGAUGGGCUGGCUUUGAUUUCUUGCAUAUUCACUUGUGUGCUUCUUAAAUGUUUUAUUAUUAUUAUUACCAUUAUCAUAAUUAUUGUUCCUCUUCAUUUUAUUAUUAUUAUGACUUCUUUAACUCAGAUUUUCUGCUGUAAAAUUCCAAUUAAAGUCAAAGGAAGCUUUGUGGAUGUCAUCCCACUAAUUCUGUGUCAUUCCUGCCCCUCAUCCAGCUCUCAGAGGACUCUGCCGGUGCAUCUUGGAGACCUAAAUGUCAGGAAUGAGUUUAAACCAGGUUUGGAACAGGAGAGGUGCACUUGACUCUGGAGCUUUUGCCUGACUCUUAAUUGCAUCUGGUAGCAUAAAAUUCGCUGAUUUAGGCUGUCAUAAUGCAAAGAUUUCUGACUCAUCACUGCAAGAGGAACAGCAAGAAAUAGAUUUCUGGAAGUUUAGUUUAUUACUGAAGGAAGUGGUGUCUUCUGCUAAGGACAGGCUAUGUGCCUAGGAAUAGUGAAGGCCAAUAGCUAAACUCCAGCUCCAAGAAGUCUGGAGGGAUGCAUGUCUGAGGGAGUUCUAUUAGAAUCUGGAAAGUGUGCAUGGGAGUGUAUUGCAGGGGAGCGGGGCUGGCCUGCUGCUGUCGCUUACAUUGCUAUCUCAAAUAUUUUGGUACUUAGAAUUGCAGAAUGGUUUGGGUUGGAAGGGACCUUAAAGCCCACCCAGUUCCAGCCCCCACAGUGGGCACUGACACCUCGCAUAGCUCAGGUACCCACAGCCCCCUCAGCCCAGCCCUGAGCACCACCAGGGAUGGGCACCCACAGCUCUCUGGGCAGCCAGUGCCAGGCCCUCAUCACUCUGACAGUGAAGAAUUUCUUUCUAUUUUCAGAGCAAAAUCGACUUAUCUAGUAUGUCUUCAUUAUGAACUGUAAAUAUAGGUGUUUUCCCUGUUUUGGAGGUAAUACUAUUAAAAUUCAAAGGAUGGCUCAGGAAAGCUCUGCUUAGUUAUGUGAGAUGAUGGCAGGACUGUGGUUUUGUUUUCAAUUCAAAACGAUUUCUUUUAGGCUUGUGUGGGCGUGGAUGGGAGCAGCACCGAAUCGCACUGUUCUUACAUUAAGCGUGAAACCGAAUCAUGCUGCUUUUAAAGGAAGCGUGAGUAGCUGAACCUCUCCUUUGGGUAAGCAGCAGGUGGUGGUUUGGCUGCAGAGACAACGUGUAGAUGAAGUGCAAAUUUUGCUUACAGAGAUUUUUAUCUCCGUGCAGGUGGGAGUAAGUGCCAGACAAGGAAGAAAAACCCAUCUGAGCGUGAAUCAAAUUCAAGUCGAGAAAUGCUGAAUUUCCCCCUAACAAGCAAGCGUCAGUUCCACAUUCCCUUGGUUUAAUGACACGGUUUAGAAAGAGAAGAG